UACGUAGGGGGCGAGCGUUGUCCGGAUUUAUUGGGCGUAAAGAGCUCGUAGGCGGUUCGAUAAGUCGGACGUGAAAUCUCCACGCUCAACGUGGAGGGGCCGUUCGAUACUGUCGUGACUCGAGUCCGGUAGGGGAGUGUGGAAUUCCCGGUGUAGCGGUGAAAUGCGCAGAGAUCGGGAGGAACACCCGUAGCGAAGGCGGCACUCUGGGCCGGUACUGACGCUGAGGAGCGGAAAGCGUGGG
rnacentral:rRNA from 1 species